CUGGUGUGUGCCGUUCCCGGCGUCCUCCAUGGACAGGACAGCUUCCACGGGGGCAGUUCCUGUGCUUGAAGAACAUCCGCACCUUCCUUAAAGUCUGCCACGAUAAAUUUGGACUGAGAAACAGCGAGCUGUUUGACCCCUUUGACCUCUUCGACGUCCGAGACUUUGGGAAGGACACCGUGGAGCUCACGGUGGGCUCGCGUGUGGUGCUGGCUGUCGCCGGGUCGCUGGAGAGUUGGUGCCCUUGAAUCCAGACUUGUUUGGGGGAAUUGAAGAGCUCUGAGCUACCCCCACUUGCUAGGCCGUGGCUGCUCAUCGAUGUGACAGGGAGGCCUGACGUGCAGGGGAGAAGCAGGGGAGAAGCAGGGGUGGGCAGCGCGGGUACUCCCGCUGCUGCUGGACCGGCUGGGACCGCACGCGUUUCCCGUGGCUGGGCCGCUCCCAGCUGCCCAUGCUCCCGGCGCAGGAGAAAUUGCCACGUGGAUGCGAAUGGCUGUGUCUUCCCAGCCUCUGCAGAGAAGCCUCUGGAAGAACCUGAAUCACCCUGCCUCUGCCUGUCAUCCGGGGCCCCUCGGGCAGUCGAUGGACCUGAGGUGGACAAGGCCCCUUCUGGAAGAAGUGGAGUCCCUGCAGUUGUGGGAAUCGGGGUGCUGUGGACCCCCCGCCCCUCCCCACCAUGCAGUCACCCUGGUGCUCCUUCGGCUGGACUGGGAUGGGGAGGUGAGGUGCACCCUGCCGGCAGGCCCGGGGGGCCCUGAGCGACCCACCCGCCCAGUCAGUGGGCAGUUCCGUCCCCUCACUGAGUAUCGGUUCAUCGGAAGCCCCAGAGCUGUAUGUUUUCCAAUGAAUAAAGCCAAUUAAAUGUC